GAGAAGGAGAAGAAGACAUUCAGGGAGGCCAGUGAGGAAGAUUGGCCCUGACCUAACGUCUGUGCCAAUUUGUGCCAUUUUGUAUUUGGGAUGCUGCCACAACAUGGCUUGACAAGUGGUGCAUAGGUCUGCGCCCAGGAUUCAAACCCCCAAACCCCAGGUCGCUGAAGUGGAACAUGCAAACUUAACCUCUAUGCCACUUGGCUGGUCCCAGUUUUAUUUUUUAUCCACUUGAUCUGUACAUUACAGAAAAAUAUAUUAAAAUCUCCUAGUAUGAUGAUGGGUCCCAGAGUCUGGCUCCUAUUCCCAGUACACAAGACCUAUCAAAACCUGGCUCUAGGCCCCCGGGGACUGGCAGACAUCUUCAGGGCACAGUGCCAAAUGUGUUCAUGAAGACAGUAACAUUCCUCUCAUCAUUUUCUCCAGAACUUUGGUGCUUUGAGUCAAAGGUUGACAUAAAGCUUUCAAAACAAAUGCGUGUUUGCACCUCCGCCUCGGGGCCGCAGGAACCUGGACUCAGGGACUAUUUAGACAACACUGAGUUGGAGGAGAAGACUACCAACUGCUCUGGAUUGAUGACACCGUUUGGGCGUAAAAUGGGCAGAAGGAGGAUGGUAGGAAGAAAAGCAGGAGAGAUGUUGCUGCCUCUUCUCAGAGAAUGGAUUGUGGCUAGCUGGACACUGGGCCCUCCGCUGGCACUGUGGUCACUGCUGGCCCCAGUGCCACCAAUGCCACAGGACACUGGAUGCCAUAGCCACCAACUCCACCAGAAGGAGUUCCGAUUAUGUUGUUCAGUCUGGAUUUAGAAGUCUCAGCUAGGAAUAGUGGCAGAAGUAAUUGAGAAGCAAGAAGUAUGAGGAUGGACGGGGAGGGAGCAAACCACUUACCCGGUCAUGGACGAUUUGCCAGGAGCUGGGCCUUUAAUCAUCAGUUUUCUAUUAAUUCCUGGAACCAGACCCUCCCUGGCACAAUG
ensembl:lncRNA